UAACACGUGGGUGAUCUGCCUUUGGGUGAGGAAUACCGGCGAGAAAUCGCCGACAAUACCGCAUACGCUUCGCAAGAAGCAAAGCUCCGCAAGGGGCGCCUGAGGAGGAGCCUGCGUCCGAUUAGCCAGUUGGUGGGGUAAUGGCCUACCAAAGCGACGAUCGGUAGCUGGUCUGAGAGGAUGAUCAGCCACACUGGGAUUGAGAACGGCCCAG
rnacentral:rRNA from 1 species